GGACGUUGCUUCCGCUAUGAUUAGAUAAAGAUUGAAAUAAAAUCCGAGUGCAGUUAACGUCUCAGCCAGUGCUUCGAGCGAACUAGUUUGCGGCGUUAUUUGAUAUUUACUGCUCAUAAUAAUGGAAGAAUUUGAUUUCGCCUCCUUGAACUCAUCUACCUAUUGUAAGCCAUUCAUAAAUGCAAAAGAUCUGGAAAUCGGAAAUAAAUACGAUACCCAAUUACUGAUAUCGGUGUGA